AGUGGCGGACGGGUGAGUAACGCGUGGGCAACCUGCCUUACACAGGGGGACAACAGCCGGAAACGGCUGCUAAUACCGCAUAAGCGCACAGUUUCGCAUGGGACAGUGUGAAAAACUCCGGUGGUGUAAGAUGGGCCCGCGUCUGAUUAGCUUGUUGGCGGGGUAACGGCCCACCAAGGCAACGAUCAGUAGCCGACCUGAGAGGGUGACCGGCCACAUUGGGACUGAGACACGGCCCAAACUCCUACGGGAGGCAGCAG
rnacentral:rRNA from 1 species